CACAUGUGACGUAGUUGAUCAUCGGCUACAGAACGACGCUGGCGGCAUGCCUAACACAUGCAAGUCGAACGAAGCCUUCGGGCUUAGUGGCGCACGGGUGCGUAACACGUGGGAAUCUGCCCUUCGGUUCGGAAUAACAGUUAGAAAUGACUGCUAAUACCGGAUGAUGACGAAAGUCCAAAGAUUUAUCGCCGAAGGAUGAGCCCGCGUAGGAUUAGGUAGUUGGUAGGGUAAUGGCCUACCAAGCCGACGAUCCUUAGCUGGUCUGAGAGGAUGAUCAGCCACACUGGGACUGAGACACGGCCCAGACUCCUACGGGAGGCAGCAGUGGGGAAUAUUGGACAAUGGGCGAAAGCCUGAUCCAGCAAUGCCGCGUGAGUGAUGAAGGCCUUAGGGUUGUAAAGCUCUUUUACCAGGGAUGAUAAUGACAGUACCUGGAGAAUAAGCUCCGGCUAACUCCGUG
rnacentral:rRNA from 1 species